rnacentral:rRNA from 1 species
GACGACGCUGGCGGCGUGCUUAACACAUGCAAGUCGAACGAGUGGCGAACGGGUGAGUAAUGUCUGGGAAACUGCCUGAUGGAGGGGGAUAACUACUGGAAACGGUAGCUAAUACCGCAUACCAUCGGAUGUGCCCAGAUGGGAUUAGCUAGUAGGUGGGGUAAAGGCUCACCUAGGCGACGAUCCCUAGCUGGUCUGAGAGGAUGACCAGCCACACUGGAACUGAGACACGGUCCAGACUCCUACGGGAGGCAGCAGUGGGGAAUAUUGCACAAUGGGCGCAAGCCUGAUGCAGCCAUGCCGCGUGUAUGAAGAAGGCCUUCGGGUUGUAAAGUACUUUCAGCGGGGAGGCGUUACCCGCAGAAGAAGCACCGGCUAACUCCGUGCCAGCAGCCGCGGUAAUUC